GGUGGGCAGGCCCUGGCACAGGUGCCCAGAGCAGCUGGGGCUGCCCCUGGAUCCCUGGAAGGGUUUAAGUGAGGUUGGAUGGAGCCCAGAACAGCCUGGGCUGGUGGGAGGUGUCCACUCCCAACAAGCACUCAAAACCUCCCCUCUCCUCACAACAGAUGAACUUUUAAAGCUGUUCCAACCCAAACCAUUCUGUGAUCCUGUAAUGAUGAUAUUUUGGGGGUUAAUUAUCCUUUAUAUUUGAAGUGUGUGAAUUUGGCCCUUUCCAGAACACAUCACUGACACAAAUCAUCUUGCUAAAUUCUGUAGCUGUUGCAACCAAAGCUGCCAUGAAUUAAUUUGCCUGUAAAUAGCUGAAACUCUUGAUUGUUUUGCAAGGCAGAUCUUGUUUCCCUUUGAAGCUAAUGGCAGAAUGUGAAUAACUUCAAAAGGUCUUGGACUGGCACAAAAAGUUGUAUACAGCAUGAGUAUUCAGCAUGAAAUAUCUGAAGGAGCACACUAGAGUAGCUGGUUUUGAUUAUUUUCCCUUCUGAGGGGUGGUGGUUGCUUCUAUGGAAGCAUUAAUGCCAUAUUUUCUUUUCUAGCUGUGUAAAUGUCACAGCUUCCUCUAGUGGGUUUCUUUAGACACAGAGGAGCUUUCUUAUCUAAAAAUUUUAAUUCUUCUCCAAUUAUUAGUCCAGAAGUGGCAGACCCAGCUCUUAACUCCAAACAGUCACAAAAUUGUCACUUCUACUUUAUGUUUGUCAGUUGUGCAACUGACAAAGGAAAAAUCCUAACCUCCACCACAUGGACUUUGCUUUUUACUGUCACCUAUCCUACAAAUAAACUGACAUUAUUUUAAUAACGUAAUUAGAGUGGCAUCAAAUUCAAUGAAGUUGUAUUUACUUCCUUGGAAGAAAGGUUUGUUAUGAUUUGUCUUAACUCAUCAUAGACUUCAGACUUUAAAAAAUGCAAUCAGGCCCCUCUGAAAUAAAAGGGGUCUGUACUCCAGCAAUUAAAUCAGAGUCCAAACUAAACGGGAAUGUGAAAAUAGCCUGGACAGAAAUUUGCUCAGAUGCCAGCACAAGCAGCAAUUCAAAUUUAACCUGGUUGAUUUUACCUGAUAUUCUGCAGUAAAACAGCUACAUUGGCUCACUGAAUUUGAGGAAGCACAAAGUCCAGAGUUUCUGCAAUGAAAAAGGUGUGUGGGACAAGCAGCUGAUCUCUCAAGCACCCUGGCUGUACUUUGGCACAAAUCUGACAGGAAAUGAUGUGAGACUUCUCAAAGCAGUUGCCCAGGCCAUUAGGAAGUCUGACAUUAGAGCUGGGAGUGAUUAAUGGCUUGGGUGGGUUAAGCAGGGAUUUGUUUGAUAACAAACAGCUGCUCUGGGGAAGAUUCCAACAGUGUCCAUUAAUUUCUUUGUGGCUCGUUCUGUUGCACAGCAGCUGAUCCCAAAUGCCUUGUGCAAAGUGGGUGAGUGCAUGGACCCUGCCAGGGAGAUCCUGGGCUGCCCCCAAAGCCCCCAGUGAGCCUCUGGGGCAGAAUUAAGAGCACAGUGCCAGCCCACUCAGGAAAGAGCAGUGCAGAAGCCACAGCACCACACAGACCUGAGGAACAGGAGCUGCCCUCCUGUGGUGCUGGAACACAAGAACGAGCAGGUUCAGCUUUCCAGUUCAUCAAGGGAGGGGUUCUGCCCCUCUGCCCUCAGGUGAGAUCUCACCUGCAGGGCUGGGCCAGCACAGGAGGAGCUGGGGCUGCUGCAGGAGCCCAGAGCAGGCACCAAGUUAAUGCUUGGAGGUGACCCAGCAAAAAGUGGAGAGGCACAGCUGGACAGCUUGCAGAGAAACAAGGAGAAAACCUGCUGCUCCUGGGAACCAGGGCACAGAACUGGAGACAUUGAAAUCAAACUCUGGUCGGACACAGAGGUAACACAGAAGCCAAUAAAACAGUGAGUGGCCAAUAAUCAUGGUAAUUAUGUUAUUUUUGGAAUAUUUAAUCUUAUGUUUGGGUUAAUUUCUAUCCCAUGAGUAAAUGGAGUUAAGUCAAUUAGGACACUGCUGUACAGGGCUCUUAAGUUAACAAUCAAGGGAAAGAAUCUUAACAGACACACUGAAAAUCAACUUAACUUCUAAAUGCUCCCCAGUUUUUUUCCACAUUGUGACAAAUGUUUCAGUUCCCUGUGAAAUUAGGUAAUUUGGUCUCUUGGUUGAAGUUGGUCUAAAAGAUCCUUCCUUUAUUAGAAGGGAUGAUGGGUAGUUAGCUCAGAAAUGUCUUGCUGAAUUUCUCUAGGUUUAAUAUGAUCUUCUUAUGGUUUUGUAGCAGUAUUUUAGAGCUACUGAAUCAUUUGAGUUGUGAUAAUUUAAUCCCUCUGGAAAUCUGACAUCUGAGACAUUUCAUUUUGAAUAACCACAAAAUGAAUCACUGGAAUUAGGCUUGGAUAUUUUGAACUCCUCACCCAAAAAUUUGGAGACACUGUUUGGACACACACUGACUGAAAACCCAAGGGAACUGCUCCUGCAAUCUACAUCGUGCAGGAAAAAACAGUUUUUGAAUUAAUGCAGAUGGCACCCAAGGCAGAGCAGCGCAGGCUAUAGCUGAAUCCUAGGGCUGAAAUUGUGCCUGACUGCAGCCCUGAUCCCUGCUCCAAACCCAGCAAUCAUAAAUCCUGUGACCCCUGUGACAGAGCACCCUCUGUUCCAUCAGUUCUGUGCUGAUGAUGAGCAUCACUUGCAGAUUGACCCAGCUGUCCUUCCACAUUCACCUCCUCCUCGGCCUCCACAAAUGAACUUAACCUUGUAAAGCUACAAACAGAUGCCAACAAAGCUCCCAGAUGUCCAUCUGAGGAGUUAUCUGCUUUUUCAACAUUUACAGUUUGGAAAAUCUGUGGAAGGAAAAGAAAUGCAAGAUGUUUGAUGUUUGUUUGUUCAGUAAUGGCUCUCAGCAGCAGCAGAGUGUUUCUCUGUCCUCCAGGUCUCAGCUGUGGGAAGUAUUUUGACAGCUCCAUCCACAGUGUGGAACUCCAUGUGGGCAGAGUUGUGUUUUCUUUUUGCUGCUGAAGAGAGACUUUCCAGUUUGCCACAAAUCCCAGGCAUGUGAGCGUGUUCCUGCUGAAACACCUCCUUACCCUCUGGCUUCCAAGGGGGGGAAGCUGAUCCACACUGGUGCUUUGGCAGCAUCACCCUCUGGAGAUGCUCCCUGCUCCUGGUAGGACACCCAGUGUCUGCUCCAGCCUCCUGUCCCAAAGCUGUGGCACUGUGGGACCAAAGAGGGCUCGGAGCCUCCCUCCCCCUGCACUGCCCAGCCCUUGGAUGUGGGCACUGAGCUUCCCUGGGCCUUUCCAGGGCACCUGCACCCUCCUGGCAGCAGCUGCCACCUGACCCUGCAAGGGGACAGCAGCCUGCAGCCCUCCCGUGGCAGUACCAGCUCCUGGCAGAGUUUCCCUCCUGUUUGGGGGGAGAGCUGGGUGGUGCUGUGGGCUGAGGUCCUGCAGGCACCAGCCAGCCCAGGGCAGGACGUGGGACAGCUCCUGCUUACACUCAUCACAGGAACCUAAACCCAAACCAGCUCCAGCCUUGCAGCUGGGGAAUGCAGGGUCAGCUGAGAGACACCCCCCUCCAUGCUGCAUUCCUGGCUCUGCUCUCUCCUCCUGCAGGGACAGGAGGAGAGGGCUUCAGCUGAGAGACACCCCCCUCCAUGCUGCAUUCCUGGCUCUGCUCUCUCCUGCAGGGACAGGAGGAGAGGGCUUCAGCUGAGAGACACCUCCUUCCGUGCUGCAUUCCUGGCUCUGCUCUCUCCUGCAGGGACAGGAGGAGAGGGCUUCAGCUGAGAGACACCCCCCUCCAUGCUGCAAUUCCUGGC